rnacentral:rRNA from 1 species
CCUACGGGUGGCAGCAGUGGGGAAUAUUGCACAAUGGGGGAAACCCUGAUGCAGCGACGCCGCGUGAGCGAUGAAGUAUCUCGGUAUGUAAAGCUCUAUCAGCAGGGAAGAAAAUGACGGUACCUGACUAACAAGCCCCGUCUAACUACGUGCCAGCAGCCGCGGUAAUACGUAGGGGGCAAGCGUUAUCCGGAUUUACUGGGUGUAAAGGGAGCGUAUACGGGAUUGCAAGCCAGAUGUGAAAGCCCGGGGCUCAACCCCGGGACUGCAUUUGGAACUGGAUAGCUGGAGUGUCGGAGAGGCAGGCGGAAUUCGUAGUGUAGCGGUGAAAUGCGUAGAUAUUAGGAGGAACACCAGGGGCGAAGGCGGCCUGCUGGACGGUGACUGACGUUGAGGCUCGAAAGCGUGGGGAGCAAACAGGAUUAGAUACCCGGGUAGUC